GGAAUGAUGGUGACUUAAACCCUCACCAGAGUACCAAUUGGAGGGCAAGUCUGGUGCCAGCAGCCGCGGUAAUUCCAGCUCCAAUAGCGUAUAUUAAACUUGUUGCAGUUAAAAAGCUCGUAGUUGAAUUUCAGCGUUGUUUUCGUGUUCCCUUUUUGCGGGUGUCGUCUACUUCGCUUUAUUUUAUUACUUUGAGAAAAUUAGAGUGUUUCAAGCAGGCUUUUGUCUUGAAUACUUGAGCAUGGAAUAAUAGAGUAGGACCUUGGUUCUUCUUUGUUGGUUUUUGUUACCUUGGUAAUGGUUAAUAGGAACGGUUGGGGGCAUUCGUAUUUAACUGUCAGAGGUGAAAUUCUUAGAUUUGUUAAAGACGAACUACUGCGAAAGCAUUUGCCAAGGACGUUUCCAUUAAUCAAGAACGAAAGUUAGGGGAUCGAAGACGAUCAGAUACCGUCGUAGUCCUAACCAUAAACUAUGCCGACUAGGGAUUGGAGGUCGUCAUUUUUCUUCGACUCCUUCAGCACCUUGAGAGAA
rnacentral:rRNA from 1 species